rnacentral:rRNA from 1 species
UACGAAGGGGGGCUAGCGUUGCUCGGAAUCACUGGGCGUAAAGCGCACGUAGGCGGAUUGCUAAGUCGGGGGUGAAAUCCUGGAGCUCAACUCCAGAACUGCCUUUGAUACUGGCGACCUUGAGUCCGGGAGAGGUGAGUGGAACUGCGAGUGUAGAGGUGAAAUUCGUAGAUAUUCGCAAGAACACCAGUGGCGAAGGCGGCUCACUGGCCCGGUACUGACGCUGAGGUGCGAAAGCGUGGGGAGCAAACAGG